GAUGAAGAACGUAGCGAAAUGCGAUAAGUAAUGUGAAUUGCAGAAUUCAGUGAAUCAUCGAAUGUUUGAACGCACAUUGCGCCCGCCAGUAUUCUGGCGGGCAUGCCUGUUCGAGCGUCAUUUCAACCAUCAAGCCCCCGGCUUGUGUUGGGGACCUGCGGCUGCCGCAGGCCCUGAAAACCAGUGGCGGGCUCGCUAGUCACUCCGAGCGUAGUAGUUACAUCUCGCUCAGGGCGUGCUGCGGGUUCCGGCCGUUAAAAGCCUUAUUUACCCAAGGUUGACCUCGGAUCAGGUAGGAAGACCCGCUGAACUUAAGCAUAUCAAUAAGCGGAGGA
rnacentral:misc_RNA from 1 species